AUGUGUCUUUUAUUAAUUCUGGCUACACUGGGUGUAAUAGCUCAAGUGUCUCAUGAAGAGGUUCAGUCUCCUGAGUCUCUGCUUGUUAAAGCAGGUGAUUCUGCUUCUAUCAGCUGCACUGCAUCUUUUGGAAUUGGUUAUAGCCUGAGCUGGUAUCUGUUGAAACCUGGAAAAACCCCUAAACUCCUGAUCUACAGAACGAGUAACCUUGCAUCUGGAGUUUCAGACCGGUUCAGUGGAACUUAUUCUGGAUAUGUAUUUACACUGAACAUACGUGGAGUCCAGUCUGAGGAUGAUGGAGAUUAUUACUGUAUGGGGUAUUAUGAUGGUGGAGUGUUCACACAGUGA